rnacentral:lncRNA from 1 species
UAUCAUGUUAAUUGAAACCUAAGGUGACCAUCCCUGGAAACUGUGGCUCUUCGAUCUUUACAGAGUACUAGUUUGCAAAUAGUGAUUCGUCUUUAUCUGAGGGAUGAGGAACUUCCAGGGCUCUUGGUGCAGGAGGCCAGCUUCCAAGGUAACAUUGUCAUAGAUGCACAAAGCCCAAGCCAGAACAAGAGACAUGUAAUGAUGGUCCUCCAUUUGGAAACUAAGACAGUGUCGUCCUUCUUGGUGCCUUUAGAACCCUGUUUAGUCUGAGAAUGACUGUGCUUCUCCCCAUGAAAUACUUCCCACCACAGUGGAAAAGUGGGCAUGGGCUUUGAAACAGAGAACUACAAAUUAACAGAAGAGAAGACA